GACGAUUGUCAAUAAUUGUGAAUGUACUUAAAGCACAUGGUGGGACUACUACUUCAUGUAUAAUACAUGGAAUGACUGCGCCAGUCUGUACAGCUCCCUCACUCAUCUGCUCCGUCCGGUCUCUCCUAACAGCCAAGCUCGUUUUCUGGCAGCGACCAAAGCAGAAAGCAGAGAAGCCGAGGAUCCAAGAAGCCGCAAAAGCAGAACGGCAAAGAAAGCCCUUCCUUCACAUACUAUCACGACGAGAAGGGCAAACACACACAUGCACACUGUUGAUCUCUCCAUGACAACAAGGAAAAUGUUUACGCUCUUGAUCAAGUCACUUUUUGGUUUCUAUGGUGCACAUGUUACAAUGUGUCUUUCACUGGCUCAACAAAGAGACGGACGGAGAGGAGGUAGGGCAGUCAGAUGUGCAGUAAAAUUAGAUCACAAACUCUUUCGAUUGAACUGAACAAAGAAUGAAAGGUUCUUUUCACUCCAAAACAUAAAAAAAAAAAAAAAAUGUUUGAUUGGCUCUGAUACGAUGAAUGGAUUUUUUGUCAUAGUCCUGACGUCCAAUUUAUUUGAUAAUUCAACCGAUGCUUCUU